rnacentral:rRNA from 1 species
GACGAACGCUGGCGGCGUGCUUAACACAUGCAAGUCGAACGGUGAAGCGCCUUCCUUUUUGGUGGGUGUGGAUGAGUGGCGAACGGGUGAGUAACACGUGAGUAACCUGCCCCCUUCUUCUGGAUAACCGCAUGAAAGUGUGGCUAAUACGGGAUAUUCUGGGUCUGUCGCAUGAUGGGUCUGGGAAAGAUAUUGUUUCGGUGGGGGAUGGGCUCGCGGCCUAUCAGCUUGUUGGUGGGGUGAUGGCCUACCAAGGCGGUGACGGGUAGCCGGCCUGAGAGGGUGGACGGUCACACUGGGACUGAGACACGGCCCAGACUACUACGGGAGGCAGCAGUGGGGAAUAUUGCACAAUGGGCGCAAGCCUGAUGCAGCGACGCCGCGUGAGGGAUGGAGGCCUUCGGGUUGUGAACCUCUUUUGCCAGUGAAGCAGGCCUGCCUCGUUUGUGGGUGGGUUGACGGUAGCUGGAUAAGAAGCGCCGGCUAACUACGUG